CCCUUAGAUGUUCUGGGCCGCACGCGCGCUACACUGAUGCAUUCAACGAGUCUAAAACCUGCUCUGAUAGGGGUGGGUAAUCUUUUGAAUGUGCAUCGUGAUUGGGAUAGAUGAUUGCAAUUUUUCAUCUUCAACGAGGAAUGCCUAGUAAACGCAAGUCAUCAGCUUGCAUUGAUUACGUCCCUGCCCUUUGUACACACCGCCCGUCGCUCCUACCGAUUGAAGUUUUCGGUGAGUUGACAGGAGGAUUUUUUUGAAACUGGUUCGCCAGUGGAUUUUAGAUCCAAAUGCCAACGAAUCGAUGGCUUUAGAGGAAGGAGAAGUCGUAACA
rnacentral:rRNA from 1 species